UGGGCCCAUGAUGACAGCUGGUGGCGUAUGAGUCGUGCACGAUGACUGGUACGUGUCUGGAAGUCUGAGGACCCA
rnacentral:snoRNA from 1 species